rnacentral:rRNA from 1 species
GACGUAGGGCGCAAGCGUUGUCCGGAUUUAUUGGGCGUAAAGAGCUCGUAGGCGGCUUGUUGCGUCGUCCGUGAAAACCCGCAGCUCAACUGCGGGCUUGCGGACGAUACGGGCAGGCUGGAGUUCGGUAGGGGGAGACUGGAAUUCCUGGUGUAGCGGUGAAAUGCGCAGAUAUCAGGAGGAACACCGGUGGCGAAGGCGGGUCUCGUGGGCGAUACUGACGCUGAGGAGCGAAAGCGUGGGGAGCGAACAGG